rnacentral:rRNA from 1 species
AGAGUUUGAUCAUGGCUCAGGACGAACGCUGGCGGCGUGCUUAACACAUGCAAGUCGAACGAUGAAGCCCUAGCUUGCUGGGGUGGAUUAGUGGCGAACGGGUGAGUAAUACGUGAGUAACCUGCCCCCUUCUUUGGGAUAAGCCUUGGAAACGGGGUCUAAUACUGGAUAUUCUGCUUCUGCCGCAUGGUGGGGGUUGGAAAGGUUUUCUGGUGGGGGAUGGGCUCACGGCCUAUCAGCUUGUUGGUGGGGUGAUGGCCUACCAAGGCUUCGACGGGUAGCCGGCCUGAGAGGGUGACCGGCCACAUUGGGACUGAGAUACGGCCCAGACUCCUACGGGAGGCAGCAGUGGGGAAUAUUGCACAAUGGACGCAAGUCUGAUGCAGCGACGCCGCGUGGGGGAUGAAGGCUUUCGGGUUGUAAACUCCUUUAACACUGAACAAGGCGUGAGUUGAGGGUAGGUGUUGAAUAAGCGCCGGCUAACUACGUGCCAGCAGCCGCGGUAAUACGUAGGGCGCGAGCGUUGUCCGGAAUUAUUGGGCGUAAAGAGCUCGUAGGCGGUUUGUCGCGUCUGCUGUGAAAGACCGGGGCUUAACUCCGGGGCUGCAGUGGGUACGGGCAGACUAGAGUGCGGUAGGGGUAACUGGAAUUCCUGGUGUAGCGGUGGAAUGCGCAGAUAUCAGGAGGAACACCGAUGGCGAAGGCAGGUUACUGGGCCGUUACUGACGCUGAGGAGCGAAAGCAUGGGGAGCGAACAGGAUUAGAUACCCUGGUAGUCCAUGCCAUAAACGUUGGGCACUAGGUGUGGG